rnacentral:rRNA from 1 species
GACGAACGCGUGGCGGCGUGCUUAACACAUGCAAGUCGAGCGGUAAGGCUCCUUCGGGAGUACACGAGCGGCGAACGGGUGAGUAACACGUGAGUAACCUGCCCCAAUCAUCGGGAUAACCAUUGGAAACGAUGGCUAAUACCGAAUACGACCACCGAAGGCAUCGUUCUGGUGGUGGAAAGCUCCGGCGGAUUGGGAUGGACUCGCGGCCUAUCAGCUUGUUGGUGAGGUAAUGGCUCACCAAGGCAACGACGGGUAGCCGGCCUGAGAGGGUGACCGGCCACACUGGGACUGAGACACGGCCCAGACUCCUACGGGAGGCAGCAGUGGGGAAUAUUGGACAAUGGGCGCAAGCCUGAUCCAGCAACGCCGCGUGAGGGAUGACGGCCUUCGGGUUGUAAACCUCUUUCAGUAGGGACGAAGCGAAAGUGACGGUACCUACAGAAGAAGGACCGGCCAACUACGUG